rnacentral:rRNA from 1 species
GACGAACGCUGGCGGCGUGCUUAACACAUGCAAGUCGAGCGGUAAGGCCCUUUCGGGGGUACACGAGCGGCGAACGGGUGAGUAACACGUGGGUGACCUGCCCUCAGCUCUGGGAUAAGCCUGGGAAACUGGGUCUAAUACCGGAUAUGACUCCAUGACGCAUGUUGUGGGGUGGAAAGCCUUGUGCGGCUGAGGAUGGGCCCGCGGCCUAUCAGCUUGUUGGUGGGGUGAUGGCCUACCAAGGCGACGACGGGUAGCCGGCCUGAGAGGGCGACCGGCCACACUGGGACUGAGACACGGCCCAGACUCCUACGGGAGGCAGCAGUGGGGAAUCUUGCGCAAUGGGCGGAAGCCUGACGCAGCGACGCCGCGUGAGGGAUGACGGCCUGGU